rnacentral:ncRNA from 2 species
UGACCGAUUUCUCCUGGUGUU